GGUUAAGUUAAUAAGGGCACACGGUGGAUGCCUUGGCGUUAGGAGCCGAAGAAGGACGCAGCGAACUGCGAUAAGCCUCGGGGAGUGGUAAGCACACUUUGAUCCGGGGAUUUCCGAAUGGGGGAACCCACCAUCUGUAAUGGGAUGGUAUCCUUCACUGAAUACAUAGGUGAUGAGAAGGCAGACCCGGUGAACUGAAACAUCUAAGUAGCCGGAGGAAGAGAAAACAAUAGUGAUUCCGUCAGUAGUGGCGAGCGAACGCGGAAGAGCCUAAACCGUAGGAUUUAUCCUACGGGGUUGUGGGGCGUUUCAUAUAGGAGUUACAAAAGACAGAUGUAGGUGAACAGUUUGGGAAGACUGACCAAAGAGCGUGAUAGUCGCGUAACCCAAACAUCUGUCUCUCCGAGACCAACCCCGAGUAGCGCGGGACACGUGAAAUCCCGUGUGAAUCUGGCAGGACCAUCUGCUAAGGCUAAAUACUACCUAACGACCGAUAGUGAACCAGUACCGUGAGGGAAAGGUGAAAAGCACCCCGGGAGGGGAGUGAAAUAGUACCUGAAACCGUGUGCUUACAAAUAGUCGGAGCACUUUCUAUGUGUGACGGCGUGCCUUUUGUAGAAUGAACCGGCGAGUUACGAUAGCGUGCGAGGUUAAGUCGAAGAGACGGAGCCGCAGCGAAAGCGAGUCUGAAUAGGGCGAAAGUACGUUGUCGUAGACCCGAAACCGUGUGAUCUAGCCAUGUCCAGGGUGAAGGUAGGGUAACACCUACUGGAGGCCCGAACCCACGCACGUUGAAAAGUGCGGGGAUGAGGUGUGGCUAGCGGUGAAAUUCCAAUCGAACUCGGAGAUAGCUGGUUCUCCCCGAAAUAGCUUUAGGGCUAGCCUCGGAUUUAGAGUCUUGGAGGUAGAGCACUGAUUGGACUAGGGGCCCUCAUCGGGUUACCGAAUUCAGUCAAACUCCGAAUGCCAAGUACUUAUAUCCGGGAGUCAGACGGUGAGUGCUAAGAUCCAUCGUCAAAAGGGAAACAGCCCAGACCAUCAGCUAAGGCCCCCAAGUGUAUGUUAAGUGGGAAACGAUGUGGAGUUGCCCAGACAACCAGGAUGUUGGCUUAGAAGCAGCCACCAUUUAAAGAGUGCGUAAUAGCUCACUGGUCGAGUGACUCUGCGCGGAAAAUGUAACGGGGCUAAACAUACCGCCGAAGCUAUGGCAGUCCUUAUGGACUGGGUAGGGGAGCGUUCCAAGCAGCAGUGAAGCCGUAUCGUGAGGAGCGGUGGAGCGCUUGGAAGUGAGAAUGCCGGUGUAAGUAGCGAAAAGACAAGUGAGAAUCUUGUCCACCGAAAGCCUAAGGUUUCCUGGGGAAGGCUCGUCCUCCCAGGGUUAGUCGGGACCUAAGCUGAGGCCGAAAGGCGUAGGCGAUGGACAACUGGUUGAUAUUCCAGUACCACCUCUGUUCCG
rnacentral:rRNA from 1 species